rnacentral:lncRNA from 1 species
UACAUGUCUUGACUUUCUUUCUUCCCAAGUUUCUCACUCCUGCUUACCUCGAGGGGAUUCUCUUUAUGGUACGGCAAACAAAACCAAAACUAAUAUCCCUGGACCAAAAUACGAAUAAACUUGGUUAGUUUUCACACUUGGGGAUGUUCGAAUGGGAUGAACCAAUUUUUCAAACUUUCCAGCACACGGUUGUUGCCCUUGUCAGGCAAAUUGGCAAUGAUACGCCUGGCAAAACGUGCCCAACAUUUUUGCAAAAAAGGCUACAUACAUAC